CAAAAGUUAAUUACAGAGUUGUGAUAUGAAGCAACCUGAAAUAAAAUCCAAUCCAUGUACUUGAUGAUAGGGGAAGGUAAGAGCUUUGGGCAGAGAGACAGACAGAGAGUGUUCUGUGNNNNNNNAAAACAGGGCAGUUUGUCUCAGGAAAACAAAUAUUCCUUGUCUAUGAAAGGGAUCUAUUUCACAAUUAAAAAAAAAAAAAGUCAUUGGGCACUAAUUACUA
rnacentral:misc_RNA from 1 species